CCUACGGGAGGCAGCAGUGGGGAAUUUUGGACAAUGGGCGCAAGCCUGAUCCAGCCAUGCCGCGUGAGUGAAGAAGGCCUUCGGGUUGUAAAGCUCUUUCGGCAGGAACGAAAUGGUUCGUGCUAAUACCACGGACUGAUGACGGUACCUGAAGAAGAAGCACCGGCUAACUACGUGCCAGCAGCCGCGGUAAUACGUAGGGUGCAGGCGUUAAUCGGAAUUACUGGGCGUAAAGCGUGCGCAGGCGGUUUCUUAAGUCAGAUGUGAAAGCCCCGGGCUUAACCUGGGAACUGCGUUUGAAACUGGGAGACUUGAGUGUGGCAGAGGGGGGUGGAAUUCCACGUGUAGCAGUGAAAUGCGUAGAUAUGUGGAGGAACACCGAUGGCGAAGGCAGCCCCCUGGGUUAACACUGACGCUCAUGCACGAAAGCGUGGGGAGCAAACAGGAUUAGAUACCCUGGUAGUCCACGCCCUAAACUAUGUCAACUGGUUGUCGGGGGUAUUACCUCCGUUGGUAACGAGACUACGCGUAGUAAGUUCGACCGCCGGNGGGACGGUACCGGCCGACGUAAACGGUUAAACGUAACGAAAGUAGUUAGGACGUCGUUGAGAGCGCGACGACGACGACGAGGAGGAGG
rnacentral:rRNA from 1 species